rnacentral:rRNA from 1 species
AUUGAACGCUGGCGGAAUGCUUUACACAUGCAAGUCGAACGGUAGAGGGGGCAACCCCUCGAGAGUGGCGAACGGGUGAGUAAUAUAUCGGAACGCGCCCAGGCGUGGGGGAUAACGUAGCGAAAGUUACGCUAAUACCGCAUACGAUCGAAGGAUGACAGCGGGGGAUCGCAAGACCUCGCGCGAUUGGAGCGGCCUAUAUCAGAUUAGUUAGUUGGUGGGGUAAAGGCUCACCAAGCCAACGAUCUGUAGCUGGUCUGGGAGGACGACCAGCCACACUGGAACUGAGACACGGUCCAGACUUCUACGGGAGGCAGCAGUGGGGAAUUUUGGACAAUGGACGCAAGUCUGAUCCAGCCAUUCCGCGUGCAGGAUGAAGGCCAUCGGGUUGUAAACUGCUUUUGUACGGAACGAAAAGGUCUCUCUUAAUACGGGGGACUCAUGACGGUACCGUAAGAAUAAGCACCGGCUAACUACGUGCCAGCAGCCGCGGUAA